rnacentral:lncRNA from 1 species
UUGCAUAGACAAAGAUUCAACUGUCGUUUAUUAUUCAUCUCUCAAGUUUCAAGAUAGAUUCUCGAAAUCUCGAAAAAUUUCUUGCUCUCCGGAGAAAGCAAGGUUUCGCGUGGCAGUAGACGAAAAGAAAAGAAAACGAGAAGACUGGAAUCAGAAAGAUCGUACAUCGAAAUAUCAGAGACUGGAUUGCACGUUUCAUUGUUGACUGUCGUUCGUCGUUCCGUUUAACUAUUCAUUUCAUUUCCCUUGGAACGAUACUGAAACACUUGACACGAUUUCUGAACCGUUCUCUCGUUGUUAAUGCAGCAACCGAGCCUUUUCAUUUUUAAUCUUCCUCGUCCUUCCGCUCAUUCGCGCCGGAUCACUUGAGACAGUCGCGAGAGAUUGUCUCCUUCGACUCCAUCUUAGAGGAGGCAGAAGGGUAGCUUUUUCCUGAGAAGUGUUUGCGUUCGCAGCGCGAGAAAUACGGCAUCGUCUGGCCGUAAUUACGUCGAAACGUCGUAGGCGACGAGCUACGUAGAGGGUUAGACGGAGCGAAAUAUUCACACAGGAAGACGGCACCUGUCGCUUCGGCCUGCACAAUUUCCUGCAGGGCUACGAAGAUAUGUGUCGCGUUCCAACGUGGGAAUGGAACUUGAUAAAAGGAAGAAAGGAGGACGAGCCGUUUGAUAAGGGUUAGUGAAGAAGAUGCAAGCGAGAGGAAAGGGCAACCAAGAUUCAAGAGGGCGAGUUUUAUUACUCAAUUUGGAUGAUGGACGAACAGGAGAAAGAGUUACGCCGCAUAUUUCAAAGCCCGGUUGGGAAUAUUUGGAAAUUAAUGAGAACCGUUCGUGAGAAGAAAACGACGUGUCGUUGGAGAGGCAAUUUCGAUUCUUCUGAGAAUGGUUCUGGGCUGUAUCAAGAGUUUCAGAAUAUUUGGUGAGGAAGGUUAAAUAGGUAGAAUAUUGAGGAGGAGGGUGAAAGAGAAUGUGGCGAGGGGACACGAAAAAAUGACUUGUCUGCGUAUUUUUCGCAUCGAUGAGGAGCGAACGACGAGGAGAGAAUUUUGAGGAUGGAACCGAAGAACGAAAUUAAAAUUUGCGUCGCAGAAAUUUUGAAACUUAAUAACGAGAAUUGUGUGAAAAAUUCCAAGGAAUAUAACGGCGCAGUCCGCAUGCAUGAGACAAAGGGGUCUGAGAGAAAUGGGAGGGAUUUUGGAGAACAAAUGGAAAGUGUCAAAUGCAGGAAAAGAGAAGCUUCAGUGAAGAGUGAAAGACAUUCUCAUCAGGCUUGAGACAGAAGGCAGACUAUUCCUUUGACUCGGUGAUUCGUUUGUGUAACCCAAGCUUUCUUUGUCGGAAUUGUGAGAGUCGGCCUGUCAUUUUCAAAUAUACUUUCAUCAUUCUUUAAACACGUUCAAAUAAAUAAUAUUUCGCCGUUUUCAAAUUAAACCGUAAGAACUCGGGAGAACUGAAUUAACACUCGACUUUCACGCGUAAAUACGCGUCAUUCCAAGCUUAAGCCCUCCAACAAUCCAAUCAUUUCGAGCUUCAAUCUCACUACUCCGUCACGCGUCGUCACAUAUUCUCCACAAACUGUAUUAAUCGAUCGAAUAUCGGCUCGAUUCCAAGAAUUUUCCACGCUUGAAUAAUUACGUUGCGUCCUGUAACGAUAAUCGGGCUAAAUAACGAUCGUAAGUACGAUCAUUUAUCCACAAACGCCGUCUCUUUGUCCACGUCUCGAUCCCACAGCUUUCCUUUAGAUAUACAGAAUAUCUGAAUUCGUUUCUCUGCCGCGUUAACGUAUUCCAGACUGGCCGAUACCGAUUGCUUCGUCUCAUUUACGAGGAGCGUAAGUGGCGGUAUGAUUAUCGAGCUGCAUUAUAGCCCCCACUCAACAGUAAUUGCCAUCCAUUACGGCUCGAUCCAUAAUCGAGGGAGAAACGUUUCUCGAGAGCGGCGGCCCUCUUUGUCCCUUGUUCCAAGCGGACUUGCAUCUUUCCUAUCGCCUUGCGACCGCCCUCCUUCUUCUCGUUAACCGACUGAUUUAAUUGCACACCCUCGCUUUCCAUUACACGCGUGUUCCGCUUCGCUGGGAGCAUCGCGAUUAAUUUCGAUUAUUAGGGAAAAAAUUUUCAUCGAUAUAUCUAUCUCCGUCCAUCGGAUAAUAUCAAUCGAGAAAUUGUUUCUUUCUCUUUUUCGCAGUUUUAUGUAAAUUUUUUUUUCACAAGUAUCGAGCGUUAACAGUGUUCUUCCUGGAGAACGUAUCAAUCGUUCUCCCAUUAGUUCGAUAUCUCUCGGGUGAGUGGCGUUCAUCAGAGGUUAAUGUAGCUCGACCGUCAAAGGAAAUCAUGAAUCCCAUUUUCUCUGGGCGGCAAUUACCGAUAUCGAGGAUCGAUCUAUAACCGAGCGAGAAAUGGUCCCCGAGCGACCCUCUUUGUUCGCGGAGCAUCUUCGAAUUAACUUCGUUAUUAUGCCACUUAGCCGGCUGUUUCGACCACCCUUUCCUCGCUUCUAACGUUCCAACCAAGACGGUUGCCCCCUUAUUAUUUUACGAUAAUUAAUUUCCACGGUGAUAUAUACUUUAUUCGAUUCGUUCUCGCGGUUUAUUAGUCGUAAAUCUGAUCGAGAUGAUGAAACGAUAAUAUCUCUUUUGAUUUAAAGAGAAGGAGACUGGAGGAGACGAAUAAGUAAAUUAUUAUGAUGAGUAUCUUCAAGGAUAUGAUAUAUACACGUUAAGCUUGACUCGUGAUAAAAACAAAGGACGCGAGAAAUAAUGUUACGAGUUGGAUUGCUUAAAGCUUUACCUAACAUCAGCUCUAGAAUUCAGAGUUCAUUAGCUUAUUAGGUUGGCGAAUUUGCUUCAUGUUAUUAACCGGAGCAGGCAAUAAGGGAUCUGGAUCCGUUCAAUCUAAUAAUGAUCUCGCAUAGAAAGGAAGUGGGACGGAAGCGAGAUUAAAUAAUAAUAACUGCGCUUAAUAAUGCAUUUGUGGCAAUGAGUUAUGGACGAUCGUGUCGAAGUUCGGUAAGACUGUUGAUCGCAACUCGGAUCAAUCAGAAUAAUUGGAGGAAUAUUCGAGGAGAAUCUAAUCAAUAAUCAAAUUGAGAGAGGACAAUUAUUUUGUGAAUGAAUGAAAUUACUCGUAGGGGAGGGGAUAGAUAACAAACGGAAUCGAUUAUGAGAGGAGCAAGAGAUAGAAAUAACAAGCGAUCGUGAAAAGUGGAGGAAAGAUACGUAACGGCAACGUCUACGUCUGGAAGAUAUCCUCGCCUGGAAAAUUGCAUCGCAGACAGGUUGAAAGUUUUGCAUAUUUCCACGGAGUGGAGGCGAGGACAGAUAUCUCGCGACAUCUGUUUUCAAAACAAGAUGACCGGAAUGUAACGUCAAAAGCAUCUGCUGGAAAAGCAUCGAGGAUUCUUGACCGAGAAAUUAUCUUCCCGAAAGAUUGCCUCGAUAUCUUAUCCCCUGAUACUCUAAUAUAUCGAUAAAAGAGUUUACAUUUUUUUCUUUAAAAAGUAUCCACACUAUCUACUUUUACUUUUUCCAUACUUUUAUAAAUAUCGUUCGAAUUUACAAAACUUUGUGAUAUCGUUAAUUCUAGGCGAAAGAUGAAAC